AUUGAACGCUGGCUGCAUGCCUUACACAUGCAAGUCGAACGGCAGCGGGGGAGAAGCUUGCUUUUCCUGCCGGCGAGUGGCGAACGGGUGAGUAAUACAUCGGAACGUGCCCUGUAGCGGGGGAUGACUAGUCGAAAGAUUAGCCAAUACCGCAUACGACCUGAGGGUGAAAGCGGGGGACCGCACGGCCUCAUGCUAUAGGAGCGGCCGAUGUCUGAUUAGCUAGUUGGUGGGGUAAAGGCCUACCAAGGCGACGAUCAGUAGCUGGUCUGGGAGGACGAUCAGCCACACUGGGACUGAGACACGGCCGAGACUCCUACGGGAGGCAGCAGUGGGGAAUUUUGGACAAUGGGCGAAAGCCUGAUCCAGCAAUGCCGCGUGUGUGAAGAAGGCCUUCGGGUUGUAAAGCACUUUUGUCCGGAAAGAAAUGGCUCUGGUUAAUACCUGGGGUCGAUGACGGUACCGGAAGAAUAAGGACCGGCUAACUACGUGCCAGCCGCCGCGGUAA
rnacentral:rRNA from 1 species